rnacentral:rRNA from 1 species
UUCCUAUAUAUUUAGAAAUAUAAUAGGAAGGAUGUUGAUAAUAUAAUAUAUACCUUAGUAAUAUUAUAGAUUAUACAACAGAAAUCCAACUACGAG